GCUGGGUGUGGUGGUGCACGCCUGUAGUCCUAGCUACCUGGGAGGCCGAGGCAGGAGGAUUGCUUGAGCCCCGGAGUCUGAGGCUGCAGUGAACUAUGAUUGUGCCACUGUACUCCAGCCUGGGUGACAGAGGAAGACCCUGUCUCUG
rnacentral:SRP_RNA from 1 species